GACGAACGCUGGCGGCGUGCUUAACACAUGCAAGUCGAACGGAAAGGCCCUGCUUUUGUGGGGUGCUCGAGUGGCGAACGGGUGAGUAACACGUGAGUAACCUGCCCUUGACUUUGGGAUAACUUCAGGAAACUGGGGCUAAUACCGGAUAGGAUCUCCUGCUGCAUGGUGGGGGUUGGAAAGUUUCGGCGGUUGGGGAUGGACUCGCGGCUUAUCAGCUUGUUGGUGGGGUAGUGGCUUACCAAGCCUUUGACGGGUAGCCGGCCUGAGAGGGUGACCGGCGACAAUGGGACUGCGAUACGGACCAGACUCCUACGGGAGGCAGCAGUGGGGAAUAUUGCACAAUGGGCGGAAGCCUGAUGCAGAAACGCCGCGUGCGGGAUGACGGCCUUCGGGUUGUAAACCGCUUUCGCCUGUGACGAAGCGUGAGUGACGGUAAUGGGUAAAGAAGCACCGGCUAACUACGUG
rnacentral:rRNA from 1 species